CAGCCCUAAACGAUGCGCGUUAGGUGUAUCGGUGACCACGAGUCACCGAGGUGCCGAAGGGAAACCGUGAAACGUGCCGCCUGGGAAGUACGGUCGCAAGGCUGAAACUUAAAGGAAUUGGCGGGGGAGCACCACAACGGGUGGGAGCCUGCGGUUUAAUUUGGACUCAACGCCGGGAAGCUCACCGGAUAAGACAGCGGAAUGAUUGCCGGGCUGAAGACCCUGCAUGACCAGCUGAGAGGAGGUGCAUGGCGUAGUCGUGU
rnacentral:rRNA from 1 species